rnacentral:rRNA from 1 species
GACGAACGCUGGCGGCGUGCUUAACACAUGCAAGUCGAACGGAAAGGCCCUGCUUUUGUGGGGUGCUCGAGUGGCGAACGGGUGAGUAACACGUGAGUAACCUGCCCUUGACUUUGGGAUAACUUCAGGAAACUGGGGCUAAUACCGGAUAGGAGCUCCUGCUGCAUGGUGGGGGUUGGAAAGAUUCGGCGGUUGGGGAUGGUCUCGCGGGUUAUCAGCUUGUUGGGGGGGUAGUGGCUUACCAAGGCUUUGACGGGUAGCCGGCCUUGGAGGUUGAACGGCCACAUUAGGCCUGAGAUACGGCCCAGACUCCUACGGUAGGCAGCAGUGGGGAAUAUUGCACAAUGGGCGGAAGCCUGAUGCAGCAGCGCCGCGUUCGGGAUGACGGCCUUCGGGUUGUAAACCGCUUUCGCCUGUGACGAAGCGUGAGUGACGGUAAUGGGUAAAGAAGCACCGGCUAACUACGUG